GUGCCAGCCGCCGCGGUAAUACGAAGGGGGCUAGCGUUGUUCGGAAUUACUGGGCGUAAAGCGUAUGCAGGCGGACUUUUAAGUCGGGGGUGAAAUCCCGAGGCUCAACCUCGGAACUGCCUUCGAUACUGGAAGUCUUGAGUCCGGGAGAGGUGAGUGGAACUCCGAGUGUAGAGGUGAAAUUCGUAGAUAUUCGGAAGAACACCAGUGGCGAAGGCGGCUCACUGGCCCGGUACUGACGCUGAGAUACGAAAGCGUGGGGAGCAAACAGGAUUAGAUACCCUGGUAGUCCACGCUGUAAACGAUGAAUGCUAGCCGUCGGGGAGCUUGCUCUUCGGUGGCGCAGCUAACGCUUUAAGCAUUCCGCCUGGGGAGUACGAUCGCAAGAUUAAA
rnacentral:rRNA from 1 species